rnacentral:rRNA from 1 species
UAAAACGACCGCCUGUUUAUCAAAAACAUGGUAUUUUGGUUUUAUUUAAUAUCAUACCUGCCCACUGAUAUUAUUAAAGGGCCGCGGUAUAUUGACCGUGCAAAGGUAGCAUAAUCAUUAGGUUUUUAAUUGAAAUCUGGGAUGAAUGGUUUUACGUAAUAUUAACUGUCUCAUUUUAAUAUAUUGAAUUUAACUUUUUAGUUAAAAGGCUUAAAUUUUAAUAAAGGACGAGAAGACCCUAUAGAUCUUUAUAAUUAAUUUUUAUUAAUUAUUUGGUUAUAUUUAAUUAAUAUAUUUAUUAAUUGUUUUACUGGGGCGGUAUAAAGAAAAUUUUAACUCUUUGUUUAAUAAAUAGUGAUUAUUAGAUAAUUGAAUCAUUAAUUAUGAUUUAAGAUGAAGUUACCUUAGGGAUAACAGCGUUAUUUAUUUGGAGAGUUCAUAUUGAUAAAUAAGUUUGCGACCUCGAUGUUGAAUUAAGAGUUCAAUGGAAUGUAGCAGUUCGAUAAUGAAAGUCUGUUCGAC